CUAGCACGUACUAAAUGACCCUCUCCAAUGUAACAAUUUAGCCGUGGCCAAUAGACAUCAUGGUAACAGUUUAAUACACAUAAUGCACACGCAAACAGUUUGCAAACAAUCGGCUAAAGACGCUUGCGGAGUUAUAUUUGCGCAUGAUAUGGAAACCUCUAUCAUGUUAGUAGAUGUUGUUGAUUAGCUUCUGGCAAUCUCAUUUUGGACUUCACAACACCUGAAGCCUGAACGCCUGAAAUGUAACUUUUUGUGUUUUAGAUGUCAAAGAGGAGCUUGAGACUGUGACAAAAUACUAUCAAGAACUGAAGACAAUCACAGAUGAAGGAACAUCACCAGUUAGUGCUGAUCAACCCGGCCCGUCAUCUGCACAGGUUUACCUGAUGAAGAGAAACAGCUGAGGCCUGUUUAACCACUGAGGAUCCCACAGGGAACAUUGAAAAGUCAAACGAGGCUUCUGGAUUUGGUCUCAACCUUUUUUUCACGUUGUUAUUUCUGCUCUCUUUUAAGAGGUUUGUUGACAUGUUUGAUGUGAGUUUCAGAGAUGUUAGAUUAGUGAUAAGACCGUUUUCCUUUUGAUUAGCCGUGGUGGGCCUCAGGCCAGAAAUUGCAAUGGGUGGUGGAGGGUCGGGGCGGGAUGUUGUGUUUUCAUGAUAAUCGUUUCUUUUUUCGGCCUUUUUGCCUUUAUUAGAUAGGACAGCUGAAGAGAGACA